rnacentral:rRNA from 1 species
UACGUAGGGUGCAAGCGUUGUCCGGAAUUAUUGGGCGUAAAGAGCGUGUAGGCGGCCCGGUAAGUCCGCUGUGAAAGUCGGGGGCUCAACCCUCGAAUGCCGGUGGAUACUGUCGGGCUAGAGUGCGGAAGAGGCGAGUGGAAUUCCUGGGUGUAGCGGGUGAAAUGCGCAGAUAUCAGGAGGAACACCAAUUGCGAAGGCAGCUCGCUGGGACGUCACUGACGCUGGAGACGCGAAAGCGUGGGGAGCAAACAGG